rnacentral:rRNA from 1 species
UUUCGAAUCAUUCACAAUGGGCGAAAGCCUGAUGGUGCGACGCCGCGUGAGGGAUGAAGGUCUUCGGAUUGUAAACCUCUGUCACUGGGGAAGAAACGCUUCAUGUUAAUAGCAUGAAGCCUGACUUAACCCAGAGAGGAAGCAGUGGCUAACUCUGUGCCAGCAGCCGCGGUAAUACAGAGACUGCAAGCGUUAUUCGGAUUCACUGGGCGUAAAGGGUGCGCAGGCGGCCGUGUGUGUUAGGUGUGAAAGCCCGGGGCUUAACCCCGGAAUUGCGCCUAAAACUACAUGGCUAGAGCAUUGGAGAGGGUAGCGGAAUUCACGGUGUAGCAGUGAAAUGCGUAGAUAUCGUGAGGAACACCAGAGGCGAAGGCGGCUACCUGGACAAUUGCUGACGCUCAGGCACGAAAGCGUGGGGAGCAAAAGGG